AGAGUAUGAAAUAGAACCUUCUAUCUGCUCGUGGCACAUUGCUCCUCCUCCAACACUCUCUUCCAAAGGAUCGUGCCUGAUCAGUCCAGUAUCAAAUCUGCGUGUUAAUUCGCAGUAAAUCCUCUUCAAAGACGCCGGCCACUCGACUCCGCCGCACAGAGAGGGGUCGGGACCUCUGCGGCUGCAGCGCGGACCGCUUUAAAGGCCCGAACGCAUGGCAAAGACAAAUUCACAAUCUCUAGUGGACACGUGAUAGCCGUAUAAUUUAGACGGAAAGACAUGAGAAGUCCGAUAGGACGGUUCAUGGACAAUAAAGUGAUGGAAAGAUUUCAGGGAGAUUUUUGGAUGGCAGUGAGGACAACGGCUCCAAGCCAAAGUCCAUUUUCAUGCACGUUGGUCAGUAACAGGUGUCUGCAAUGGGUGAAAUAAAAGGAAAAAAAAAGAGAUCAGAGGGUGGAGGCAGAGACGGGCGACGAGGCUGUGUUUAACUGCGUUGAGUGAUUUUUUUCCCCUCAGAGACAGAGGACACUCUCACAUAUCUCCUACAUCCUCUCAUCCCUGCCCUCGAUUCCCACGCUGAAGCAGCAAGCCUGCUGGGAAUUUUCCAGCUCGGGACCCCGGGUAGGUUUGGGAAUCCUUGCGACUCCUGCG